rnacentral:lncRNA from 1 species
GAUUCAAGGAUCAACCUGUUUAAUUGUUCAUAUUUUAUUCCUGUAUCAGUAGAUUAAGAAAGUAAAAUUUUCCCAAGCACUGAUUUAUAGAUCAUGUUUAUAAGCAGCAUACAAAAAGUUAAGUUUCAUAAACAAUAACAUUCAGUGAUCUACUUAAAUCCAAUUGUAAUCCUUACUUUAAACUAAGGGCAAUAAUAAUUUAAUACAUAGAGUAAAUACACACAAAACCUGUGUAUUCAGAACUACAAACAUGGUUUCCAUAGCCACGUAUGGUUUUAGUCAAGGACACAUUUCCACAAUGAACAAGUACUUACAAAUAUGUUAAUAAAACACUAACCCAAAUGCUUACCCUGCCAUCAGCUUUUUAAACAAUGCCAUUCCUGCUACUGAAAGCAUUUAUUUUUAGAAGCUUGAAUCUGCUCUGGGAAAACGGGUUCUCCUAAAACUUAACAGGAUGUUAUAAAUCCGAAAAGAUUUUAAAUCAAAAAGCCUUCCAACACAGCAUUAUUCAUGUGAAACUUGCUUUCUUUUUUUUUUUUUUGAGACGGAGUCUCGCUCUGUCGCCCAGGCUGGAGUGCAGUGGUGCGAUCUCGGCUCACUGCAAGCUCCGCCUCCCAGGUUUACGCCAUUCUCCUGCCUCAGCCUCCCAAGUAGCUGGGACUACAGGCGCCUGCCACCGCGCCCGGCUAAUUUUUUGUAUUUUUAGUAGAGACGGGGUUUCACCGUGUUAGCCAGGAUGGUUUCGAUCUCCUGACCUCGUGAUCCGCCCGCCUUGGCCUCCCAAAGUGCUGGGAUUACAGGCGUGAGCCACCGCGCCCGGCCCGUGAAACUUGCUUUCUUAAAAAAUAAUAAUAACUUGUUAUCUGAAGAAAAUUAAAAGAUUAUCUUUUAAGAGAGAUAAACAUUCUUACAAAAAACUAUAUUUUCCUCUAUCAUCUCUUUAAAAGAAAUGCAAACCAGUUCAUUAUCUUUGUUUUUUUGAGAGUCACACUCUAUUGCCCAGGCUGGAGUGCAGUGGCGCCAUCUCGGCUCACUGCAAUCUCUGCCUCCUGGGUUCAAGCAAUUCUUCUGCCUCAGCCUCCCAAGUAGCUGGGAUUACAGGCACAUGCCUCCAUGCCUGGCUAAUUUUUUAAUUUUUAGUAGAGGUGAGGUUUUGCCAUGUUGGCCAGGCUGGUCUGGAACUCCUGGCCUCAAGUGAUCUGCCCGCCUCAGCCUCCCAAAGUGCUGGGAUUACAGGUGUGAGCCACCACGCCCGGCCUAGUUCAUUAUCUUUAAUAAUGAACUAGACAAUAAACUAAUUGUUGUCUAAAAACUUCUGAAUACAUGAAGUACAAGUCUGAGCUGUCAAGUCAAAAAUGCCAUUUAGAUUUCACAUAUUAAACAGCUAUAGUAGGCCAGGCGUGGUGGCAGGCGCCUGUACUUCCCAGCUACUCGAGAGGCUGAGGAAGGAGAAUCACUUGAACCCGGGAGGUGGAGCCUGCAGUGAGCCAAGAUCACGCCACUGCACUCCAGCCUGCCAACAUAGUGAGACUCCAUCUCAAAAAAAAAAAAAAAAAAAAAAAAAGCUACAGUAUAGCUUACAAGGGCAUAAACAUACCUAACACAUUAAAUACUACUUUAUCCUUUAAAUAGUCAAAAGUCAGAACAACGGCAUGGUUUGCAAGGUACUUUGACUUAUGUGUGGUCAUUAAAACCCAGUAAGUAAUUCAAGUAUGGUAAUAUAAAGGCAGGCAAUUACAUGCACCAAUAUCAC